rnacentral:rRNA from 1 species
UACGUAGGGGGCGAGCGUUGUCCGGAGUUACUGGGCGUAAAGCGCACGCAGGCGGUCUGCGAAGUUUGGAGUGACAGUUGGUGGCUCAACCACCAAAGUGCUUUGAAAACUGACAGACUUGAGGGCUUCAGAGGGACACGGAAUUCCGGGUGGAGUGGUGAAAUGCGUAGAGAUCUGGAGGAAUACCGGUGGCGAAGGCGGCCCCCUGGACGAAGACUGACGCUGAGGUGCGAAAGCGUGGGGAGCAAACAGG